CCAACAUGGGUAUCCAGUGAGGUUGCUCUCACAUGGCUCUGCCCAAGUGGUGCAUGGGAGCUUAGCUCCAUGGGAGCAAUGAUGUAUAUUCCCAUUCCACAAUGUUGGAGAGCAAGUUUUCCCUUCCGGCUGAAAACGCUGUUGAGGGGAGGCGUCCUGUAUAUUCCUCUAACUUCUCGGUAUUUGUGGUUGCUGAGGAGACAAACCAUGCAGGACACAUCC
ensembl:snoRNA SNORA73 Small nucleolar RNA SNORA73 family